GACGAACGCUGGCGGCGUGCUUAAUACAUGCAAGUCGAGCGGACAGACGAGGAGCUUGCUCCUCUGAUGUUAGCGGCGGACGGGUGAGUAACACGAGGUUAACACACCUAUAAGACUGGGAUAACUUAGGGAAACCGGUGCUAAUACCGGAUACCAUCUUCAACCGCAUGGUUCAAAAGUGAAAGCCGGUUUUGCUGUCACCUCUAGAUGGCUCCGCGCCGCAUUAGCUAGUUGGUAAGGUAACGGCUUCGCAUGGCCGCGAUGCGUAGCCGACCUGGGAGGGUGUUGCGCGACACAGGAACUGAGACGCGGUCCAGACUCCUACAGGAGGCAGCAGUAGGGAAUCUUCCGCGAUGGGCGGAAGCCUGACGGAGCAGCGCCGCGUUGGUGAUGAAGGGCUUCGGAUCGUAUAACGGUGUUAGUGUUGAAGAACGAUUUUAGAAGGAACUAUGCACGUCGUGACGGUACCUACACAAAAAGCCACGGCUAACUACGUG
rnacentral:rRNA from 1 species